GCAUAGUGUCCCAGGCACACGGAACAGUAUCUACAAAAGCUCAAAGGGGCUCAGAGAGGAUUGAAACUGAUAGUCUGGCUGGAGAGUCAUGUACAAGGGGAUGGAAGGCUGAGAGAUGAGGCUGGCAAGGUAAGGUUCAGUUGUCGGCACUGGAGAAAUCACACCAAGAAGGGUGCAGAGACCCAUUGCAAGUGACUUGGGAAGAGGAAAACUCAGUCAUGGGCAGACACCCAGUUAAAUGGAAAGCAGAGUUAAAGGAGGACAGCGGGAAGAAUGAGAUCUUGAAAAAUCCAUCAGCAAUUUCGGGACGAUAACAUGUGCACAGAUGAUAUUUUUUAAAAACCUGGGAGAAAGGAGUCAGUGGGAGACACAAUUUGAGAGCUACUGUGGCACUCUGGGGACCAAACUAAAGUGUUUGCACCACAUGCUGGGGUAAUUCAAUCACUCAGCAAGCACUGUUUGAGCACCUGUGUUUCUCUGGCCACACUAGUCUCCCUGCUGUUCCUUGUCCUCACCAGGCAUGCUUCCCUACUCUGCCUUUAAUCUGCAGGGGGAUUAUCAUAGCUCAUUGUAACCUUGAACUCCUGGGCUCAAGCGAUUCUCCCAUUUCAGCCUCCCCAAUAGAUGGGACUACAGGCCUGCACCACCAUGCCAGGCUAUUUUUUUUUCUAUUUUGGUAUAGGUGGGGUCUCACUAUGUUGCCCAGGAGGUCACUAUCUCCUGGGCUCAAGCCAUCCUCCCGCCUUGGCCUCCCAAAGUGCUAGUAUUACAAAUGUGAGCCACCACACCCAUCCAGAGUUCCCCUUUUUUUUGAGGGCUUCCCCCUACUCAGUAGCACCAUUGUCUUAGGUCAUUUUCUGUUGCUGUAACAUAUACCACAGAUUGGGUAAUUUAUAAAGAAAUUUAUUUCUUACAGUUCUGGAGGCUGUAAAGUCCACAUCUGGUGAGGGCCUUUUUGCUGGUGGGAACUCUCUGAAGAGUCCCCAGGUGGUGCAGAGCACCACAAGGUGAGGGGACUGAGUGUGUUAGCUCAGUUCUCUCAUCCUCAUCUUAUGAAGCUGCUAGUCCCAUUCCUGUAGCAACCCAUUAGUCCAUCAACCCAUGAAUCCAUGAAUGGAUUUAUCCAUUUAUGAGGGCAGAGCUCUCAUGACCCAAUCACCUCUUAAAGGCCCCAACUCUGAAUAUUGCUACAUUGGGGGUUGAACUUCAACAUAAGUUUUGGAGGGGACAAAUAUCCAAGCCCUAGCAACCAUUUAGCAAAUGCGUAAACAAGCUGCAAUUGUGGUGACAAGAGAAGGCACAUCACCCUGGAAAGGACCCUGUCUCAUUUUUCUUUGUUUUUAUUUUUUAUUUUUAUUAAGAUUAUUUUUUAGAGAUGUGGUCUCUCCAUGUUGCCCAGGCUGGCCUUGAACUCCUAGCCUCAAGUGAUCCUCCUGCCUUAGCCUCCCAAAGUGCUGGGAUUACAGGUGUGAGCCACCAAGUCCAGUUUAUCUCAUUCAUCAUUGUACCCCAGUGCUAGGCACAUAGUAAGCAUUGAGGAAAUGUUGAAUGAAUGAAUAUCAUUUUUAAGCACUGAGGAAACCUAUUUUUAAAAUAGUAAAUGUUAUUAUCACAACUUUGUAAAAAGUGCAUUUUAAAAUGUUUCUAAAAUCCACUAAUAAAUACCAACAGUAAGCCGGACAUGGUAGUGUGUCCGUAAUCCCAACUACUCAGGAAGCUGAGGCGAGGAGGAUCACUUCAGCUUAGGAGUUUAAGGCUGCAGUGAGCUGUGAUUGUGCCACUGCACCCCAGCCUGGCCAACAGAGCAAGACCCCGUCUUUAAAAAAAGUUGUAAAAAGAAAUACCAACAGCAGUUGAAUGGUGGAGUUCUGGGAAAUCUUUCGUUAUUUCCUUUUCUUUUCUCUUCCUUCCUUCCUUCCUUCCUUUCUCUUUCUUUCUUUCCUUUUUUUUUUUUUUUGACAGUGUCUUGCUGUCGCCCAGGCUGGAGUGCAGUAGUGCAAUCUUGGCUCGCUGCAACCUCUGCCUCCUGGGCUCAAGCACACCUCAACCUCCCUAGUAGCUGGGAUUCCAGGCGCAUGCCACCACGCCCAUCUAAUUUUUCUAUUUUUAGUAGAGAUGGGAUUUUGCCAUGUUGGCCAGGCUGGUCUUGAACUCCUGACCUCAAGUGAUCCACCUGCCUCGGCCUCCCAAAGUGCUGGGAUUACAGGCAUGAGCCACUGUACCUGGCCUUUUUCUUUCUUUUCUGUAUUUUUCCCAUUUUGUGUACUAUAGCAACAUUUUUAAUAAUGAAUAAAGUAUAUUUUAGUCCCAUCCACACCUUCCUUCCUCCCAAAAAAGGAAUUGUGAGAAUUACAAUUUACAACCUAAUAUUUUAAAAGUCUUGUGCCAUGUAAAGUGUAAAUGACGAAGACUGAGAAACCAUGACCUGAACUUUAUAAUGCAAUGAAAUAAAGUUUACCACACUCUGACGUGUCUGACAAUAUGCAUGAGGAUUGUGUAGCUGGGCAUGACCAACAAUUCUCAUAAAACACUGUGAUUGGUAUUACUUGAAACAGCCAAACUGGCCUCUGUCAGAUGCUUGGGGAAGGGAGGCGGGAACUGGAUGGGGUGUGUGUGGCUCUGUUGGCCUCAGAAGACCCCUGGAUCCAUAACCCAGGUAUGCCACUUUGCUGGCAGAGAAGGCCAGGACCUGGGAGCUCCGAGGACCUCCGGCUGACAGAUUUGCAGCCUCCAAGUGGGGCUGGUGCUGCACAGGCUUCACAAAGGAGCUUUUUACCACAACAGGAACGGCACGAACACCCCAAACUCUGCUUUCCUUCCCUUCCCAGCCUUCUAGAUAUGGAGAGUUCAUAAGGAUACUGCCUGAAAUGUCAUCAAUAAAAAUGUGUUGGGCAGCAGAACGAUUGCCUUUGAGAGGGCUAGAGGAGAGAAUAUUCAUUCACACAACAAAUGUUUAUUGAGAAUCUACUAUAUGCCAAGCAUAAGGGAGGUCCUGUGCAUACAUGGUGUCAUUUCCUUGCAUCAGCCUGAUGAAGAUGCUAUUAGACCCCACUAUACAGAUAAUGAAACAGGCUGGGAAAUGUUAAGUUAGUGACACUGAGUCACACAUUUAAGUAAGUGGUGGUAGUGGGGAGGGAGGUGGAAAGGGAGGGAGGAGGGACUCAAACACAGCCCCAUCAGAGGUGGAGAGCCUCUCUUCCCACAUUGCGCAUUGCACAACAGCAGAGGUUUCCAGACUUCAUGCUUACAGCCUUUGUGACCAUCAGCAGCUACUCUGGGUCUCGGUCUCCUUGUUUAUAAAAAUAAAGUGCUUGAAUGGCUCACACCUGCAAUCCCAGCA
rnacentral:lncRNA from 1 species